rnacentral:rRNA from 1 species
UACGUAGGGUGCGAGCGUUAAUCGGAAUUACUGGGCGUAAAGCGUGCGCAGGCGGUUCUGCAAGUCAGAUGUGAAAUCCCCGGGCUUAACCUGGGAACUGCGUUUGAAACUACGGAGCUAGAGUGCGGCAGAGGGGGGUGGAAUUCCACGUGUAGCAGUGAAAUGCGUAGAUAUGUGGAGGAACACCGAUGGCGAAGGCAGCCCCCCUGGGCCGACACUGACGCCUCAGGCACGAAAGCGUGGGGAGCAAACAGG